AUCAAUGUUGUUGCGGUUAAAACGCUCGUAGUUGGAUUUUGGAUUGAUUAGACUCGGUCCGCGGAAACGUGUGUACUGGUUUGAUUAAUCUUCUUUCUAAAGACUUAGUGUGUUCUUCAUUGAGUGUGCUAAGGAUUUAGGACUUUUACUUUGAAAAAAUUAGAGUGUUCAAAGCAGGCUUUUUCUACGAAAAUUUACGCUUGAAUACAUUAGCAUGGAAUAAUCAAAAAGGACCUUGGUUCUAUUUGUUGGUUUAUUAUUAGAACUAAAGUAAUGAUUAAUAGGGAUAGUUGGGGGCAUUAGUAUUUAAUUGUCAGAGGUGAAAUUCUUGGAUUUAUGAAAGACUAACUACUGCGAAAGCAUUUGCCAAGGAUGUUUUCAUUAAUCAAGAACGAAAGUUAGGGGAUCGAAGACGAUCAGAUACCGUCGUAGUCUUAACCAUAAACUAUGCUGACUAGGGAUCAGUGAAUGUUAUUUUUGAUGACUUCAUUGGCACCUUAUGAGAAAUCAACGUCUUUGAGUUCCGGGGGGAGUAUGGUCGCAAGGCUGAAACUUAAAGGAAUUGACGGAAGGGCACCACCAGGAGUGGAGCCUGCGGCUUAAUUUGACACAACACGGGGAAACUCACCAGGUCCAGACAUAGUUAGGAUUGAUAGAUUGAGAGCUCUUUCUUGAUUCUAUGGGUGGUGGUGCAUGGCCGUUCUUAGUUGGUGGAGUGAUUUGUCUGGUUAAUUCCGUUAACGAACGAGACCUUAACCUACUAAAUAGUUACACUAAUUUUUUAAUUGGUGGGAACUUCUUAGAGGGACUAUCGAUGUUUAAUCGAUGGAAGUUUGAGGCAAUAACAGGUCUGUGAUGCCCUUCGAUGUCCUGGGCUGCCCGCGCGCUACACUGAUGAAGUCAACGAGCUUAUAACCUUGGCCGAAAGGUCUGGGUAAUCUUUUGAAACUUCAUCGUGCUGGGGAUAGAUCAUUGCAAUUAUUGAUCUUCAACGAGGAAUUCCUAGUAAGCGCAAGUCAUCAGCUUGCGUUGAUUACGUCCCUGCCCUUUGUACACACCGCCCGUCGCUACUACCGAUUGAAUGGUUUAGUGAGAUUUUCGGGCCGAGGAAUAUUAAUAUUGGCAACAGUAUAUAUUUUUUGGGAAGUUACUCAAACUUGAUCAUUUAGAGGAAGUAAAAGUC
rnacentral:rRNA from 1 species